UCAAAAGCAAUGAGGAAGAAGAGUAAAAUGCCGCAUUCGUAAAGUGAGCUGGUGAUAGUGAGAGACCGGCCGACCCUGGACGUUUGAAAAACACUUUCUCGCAGUGCCGCUGACCCAAAUAAUCAUCACGAUUAAAGUAGGCUCAGCCGUCCCCGGUACGUUACCACACCGGUAGAACGUGAUUGCGUUCGAAAAGCGGUCUAAGAAUUACGAUUCUUAGGCAACUUGGGUGGUACCGCGGAAUAAAGCCUUUCGUCCCUUCG
rnacentral:ncRNA from 1 species